rfam:Chlorella variabilis plastid, complete genome.
GCAUCCAUGGCAGAGUGGUCGAUUGCACCGCACUCAUAAUGCGGUUUCGAAAGAACAUCGUUGGUUCAAACCCAACUGGAUGCA